GUACUCAUUUUGGUAGCACAUACACCAAAAUUGGAAUGAUACAGAGACUAGCAUGGACCCUGCACAAGGAUGACGCGCAAAUUCAUGAAGCAUUCCAUAUUUUU
rnacentral:snRNA from 1 species